rnacentral:rRNA from 1 species
AGAGUUUGAUCCUGGCUCAGAUUGAACGCUGGCGGCAUGCUUUACACAUGCAAGUCGAUCGGCAGCGCGGACUUCGGUCUGGCGGCGAGUGACGAACGGGUGAGUAAUGUGUCGGAACGUGCCAAGUAAUGGGGGAUAACGCAGCGAAAGUUGUGCUAAUACCGCAUACGCUCUGAGGAGGAAAGCGGGGGACCUUCGGGCCUCGCGUUAUUUGAGCGGCCGACAUCUGAUUAGCUAGUUGGUAGGGUAAAGGCCUACCAAGGCGACGAUCAGUAGCGGGUCUGAGAGGAUGAUCCGCCACACUGGGACUGAGACACGGCCCAGACUCCUACGGGAGGCAGCAGUGGGGAAUUUUGGACAAUGGGGGCAACCCUGAUCCAGCCAUUCCGCGUGUCUGAAG